UGACGCCAAUCACAAAUGUCCCCGACACUGU
rnacentral:piRNA from 1 species